rnacentral:rRNA from 1 species
GUCGCAAGACCAAAGUGGGGGACCUUCGGGCCUCAUGCCAUCAGAUGUGCCCAGAUGGGAUUAGCUAGUAGGUGGGGUAACGGCUCACCUAGGCGACGAUCCCUAGCUGGUCUGAGAGGAUGACCAGCCACACUGGAACUGAGACACGGUCCAGACUCCUACGGGAGGCAGCAGUGGGGAAUAUUGCACAAUGGGCGCAAGCCUGAUGCAGCCAUGCCGCGUGUGUGAAGAAGGCCUUCGGGUUGUAAAGCACUUUCAGCGGGGAGGAAGGCGGUGAGGUUAAUAACCUCAUCGAUUGACGUUACCCGCAGAAGAAGCACCGGCUAACUCCGUGCCAGCAGCCGCGGUAAUACGGAGGGUGCAAGCGUUAAUCGGAAUUACUGGGCGUAAAGCGCACGCAGGCGGUCUGUCAAGUCGGAUGUGAAAUCCCCGGGCUCAACCUGGGAACUGCAUUCGAAACUGGCAGGCUAGAGUCUUGUAGAGGGGGGUAGAAUUCCAGGUGUAGCGGUGAAAUGCGUAGAGAUCUGGAGGAAUACCGGUGGCGAAGGCGGCCCCCUGGACAAAGACUGACGCUCAGGUGCGAAAGCGUGGGGAGCAAACAGGAUUAGAUACCCUGGUAGUCCACGCCGUAAACGAUGUCGAUUUGGAGGUUGUGCCCUUGAGGCGUGGCUUCCGGAGCUAACGCGUUAAAUCGACCGCCUGGGGAGUACGGCCGCAAGGUUAAAACUCAAAUGAAUUGACGGGGGCCCGCACAAGCGGUGGAGCAUGUGGUUUAAUUCGAUGCAACGCGAAGAACCUUACCUGGUCUUGACAUCCACAGAACUUUCCAGAGAUGGAUUGGUGCCUUCGGGAACUGUGAGACAGGUGCUGCAUGGCUGUCGUCAGCUCGUGUUGUGAAAUGUUGGGUUAAGUCCCGCAACGAGCGCAACCCUUAUCCUUUGUUGCCAGCGGUUAGGCCGGGAACUCAAAGGAGACUGCCAGUGAUAAACUGGAGGAAGGUGGGGAUGACGUCAAGUCAUCAUGGCCCUUACGACCAGGGCUACACACGUGCUACAAUGGCAUAUACAAAGAGAAGCGACCUCGCGAGAGCAAGCGGACCUCAUAAAGUAUGUCGUAGUCCGGAUUGGAGUCUGCAACUCGACUCCAUGAAGUCGGAAUCGCUAGUAAUCGUAGAUCAGAAUGCUACGGUGAAUACGUUCCCGGGCCUUGUACACACCGCCCGUCACACCAUGGGAGUGGGUUGCAAAAGAAGUAGGUAGCUUAACCUUCGGGAGGGCGCUUACCACUUUGUGAUUCAUGACUGGGGUGAAGUCGUAACAAGGUAACCGUAGGGGAACCUGCGGUUGGAUCACCUCCUUA